rnacentral:rRNA from 1 species
UACGAAGGGGGCUAGCGUUGCUCGGAAUCACUGGGCGUAAAGGGUGCGUAGGCGGGUCUUUAAGUCAGGGGUGAAAUCCUGGAGCUCAACUCCAGAACUGCCUUUGAUACUGGCGAUCUUGAGUCCGGGAGAGGUGAGUGGAACUGCGAGUGUAGAGGUGAAAUUCGUAGAUAUUCGCAAGAACACCAGUGGCGAAGGCGGCUCACUGGCCCGGUACUGACGCUGAGGCACGAAAGCGUGGGGAGCGAACAGG